GAUGAAUACAGAAAUGUACAUAGUCGUUGCCUUGUGGGUCUAUUUUAUUCAGUCUUUAGUCUUGUGCUCUCGUGCUUUUAACCUGAGGAUUUUGGUGUGGGCUGUGAGCACUAGUGUAACUUUGAUGAGUCUAUCUCUUGUUGAUGGGAGUACACAGCCACACAAUCACAAUUGUUCACAACAUUGCAGCUUCCCCUUAUCCUUUUCCCUUUCCAGCUUUUCGAGUCUUAAAACACUACUAAAAAAAGGGCCUUUUACGACACCAUUUUUACGCCGAUUAUAACUGAAACCACCUUAGAAAGUGAUUCGGUGACAAUUUUGUAAUUAUCGUGGUGAAAAUUGCAAUUCACCACACAUAUUCUAAGGCGGUUAUUCAAAAUCACCUUAGAAUGUUUUGUAUAAUAAAAUUUACACCGAUUUUUAUUAAAUAACCAUCGUAAAUAAAAAAAAUAGCUGAAUUUAGUCGUUACUUUUCGGCAUUUUAAAGUUCACUCCUAGCUAGCCUUUCUUCCUUCUUCCUUUGCACCUUGACUGCUAACCCCACUCGAACCCUAGCCUUGUUCUUUGUUGUUCUUCCUUUGCACCUAGCUUGACCAACCCAACUCGAACCUAGCCGCAUCACGUGCUUCUUUUAACACCAACCCCACUUGAAGUUCCCAGCAACGUUUUCAUCUUCUUUCACGGCUCGAAGCUCGUGACUCGGACCCGACGAAAGAGUGAAGAAGUAUAUUGACUCGAACUAGCUCGAACUUCACAACUCGAAGAUCACUUUUGUCAAAAUCAGGGAAGAUGCAGGUGACAAAUUAGUUGUUGCUGAACAACAGCUACUAGACUGCAAAUGGAUCAGUGCCAAUUUCUUCAUUUGAAUCUUUGUUGUCAUUUGGAUUACUAUAUGAAUGUAGCACCAGGAGGGCAUGAUUCUUCCGGAAUUAAUAAAGUGUCUUCUUAUUAUUCGGCGGCCUGAAUCUUGGUUAUGGUUUCAACUGAGAAAUAUUAGCACGAUUGAGGAUAUCGUCUGAUGGAUCAAACUUCUGUAAACAUAGGACUUCAUCGAGAAAAUUUUGUGAUAUUUAAUGUAAAUUUCUUGUUAAGAUUUUCCAAAGAAUAAUGGGCAGAGACCCAACUACAUAAUUCAUGAGGUUUAUCAAGGUUUGUUGCUGUAGUAUUUGUGUUAGCAACAGUUUCAGCUAAAUAUACCCGACUCUUUAAAACUGAUCGAAUUACGUAUUUGUUAGUCUGAAAUUAUUGUUAUUCUUAGUUCUGCUUAUCUCAUGUAACCUUGAAAUUUCUUUAUGAAGAUUUAAUGUUGAUAAUCUUGUGAGCUUA